ACCUAAAAAUGCUUCUUCGGGGAAAGCAAACGACUUAUUCAGAAACGCUUCUUCGGAGAAGCACUUUUUCUCACGCGCAUUGGCUAAGCUUUCUCGGUUUCUCUUGUGCAACACUCUCUCAAACUCAUGUUCUCUCUCUCUCAAUUCUUACACAACAACAACAUUUAUGACGCAGAUUCUCUUGGUCUCGAAUUGGUUGGAUUUGGAUUUCAGAACUGAUUCGAAUUGUUAUCGACUCAGGAUUCGAUUUGCGUUGGGGUUCAGAAUCUGUUUGCGCUCGAAAUUUCAACUCAGAGCAGUUUGAGUUAAAGUUACAGCAAGCAUACGCGAUCAUAAAGUUGGGAAUGGAGGAAUGCUUACCGGUUGAAGCGACGAGGAAAAGAAAAUGCAGCUUUCGAUCUUGCUCACAAGGUAUUCGAUAAAAUGCCUCACCGAAAUCGAUAGAACAAACAACCAGCAAUCAGAUUUAGUUUUCAAUUUUGAAUUGUUUCAAUUUCGGUUUCGCGGUUCUAUUUGAGCUUCACGGUUAUGUUUGGUGUUCGCGAAGGUUUUUGUUCAGAAUCGAGUUGUUACUCAGUUCUCUUUUGGUUCGAGUAGAGUUUUUUCACGGUUCAGAUUUUACAUUCGAGCCAAGUUUUCGGUACAGGUUUGUAUCAAUUUCAAAUCAAGUUUAGUUUCAGUUCAGAAUUUGAUUUAAGUUUUCUGUUCAUAAUCGUUGCGUUUUGGAAUAAAUGCAUUUUUACGGUUUCAACUCAAUUACGGGUUCUACUAAAGUUUGAUUGUGAUUUGAUUUCGGUGCAUAUUUUGGUUUGAAUUAAAAUUAAUGCAGAUUUCAUCCUCGCUCGCAAGGUGUUUGAUGAAAUGUCCCAACCAUAUUUUUUCUUCUUUUUGCUUUAGUUUUAAUUUUCUUAUGCUGUGAUGUUGUGUUGUUGAUGAUUCUGUUCAAAUCACAGAUUGUGAAUUGGUUAUGAUGUUGCCGUUAUUUCCGUCUUGGAUUCCAGAGGUUGUUGAUUCAAUCAAAACUGUUGAAAUCAUUGAAGGAAAUGGGGAAUGAUGUGUGAUUUCAAAUCACACCUCAAACAGUUGCGGUUUGCCGGUGAUCUUCUGAUGGAGUUGGGUGCUGGGGUGGAACUAGCAACUGCUGCAGCACCACAUUUAUUUCUUCCUUUGGCUUGUGCUGCUAAUGUUCUCAAGGUUUGAUGAUUUUAGUUGGUUGUCAUGACCGAAUGUCAGUUCUCUAGGCUAACUAGUUUAUUUAUCCUCUUAGAAUGUUGCUGCUGUAACAUCAACAUAAACUAGGACACCAAUUUAUAAAGCCUUUGCUAAAGGAGAAAACAUAGGGGAUGUCACUGCUAAAGGAGAAUGUGUUGGCAAUAUUGCAGACCUGAAUUAUAGUCUUUCUGAAUAUAUAGCUUAAAGGGAGUAUAUGCCCAUGGACAUCUGUACAACAUCAACAUCUCAGCCAUGUGAAAUUCCUAGCUCAGAUGUGAUAACUUUGGAAGGGCAUACUUCAGAGGGCUUGAUGGUGCUUGUUCAAUAGAAGGUUCAGAAGUCACAGAAAAAUCGGUAAAACCCCUGUUAUGUUAACUGCAGGCGCUUCCCCUUUUUUUUUUUUGAAUUGCAAUGUGUUUGGAUUGAAUACAUAUUCCCUUGAU